rnacentral:rRNA from 1 species
AUACGGAGGAUCCGAGCGUUAUCCGGAUUUAUUGGGUUUAAAGGGUGCGCAGGCGGGAGAUUAAGUCGGCGGUGAAAUUUUGCAGCUCAACUGUAAAAGUGCCUUCGAAACUGGUUUCCUUGAGUGUAGAUGAAGUAGGCGGAAUUUGUGGGGUAGCGGUGAAAUGCAUAGAUAUCACGAGGAACUCCGAUUGCGCAGGCAGCUUACUAAACUACUACUGACGCUCAGGCACGAAGGCGUGGGGAUCAAACAGGAUUAGAUACCCUGGUAGUCCACGCAGUAAACGAUGAUUACUAGCUGUUUGCGAUACAAUGUAAGCGGCUGAGCAAAAGCGUUAAGUAAUCCACCUGGGGAGUACGUUCGCAAGAAUGAAACUCAAAUGAAUUGACGGGG